rnacentral:rRNA from 1 species
AGAUUGAACGCUGGCGGCAUGCCUAACACAUGCAAGUCGCACGGGCACUUCGGUGUCAGUGGCGGACGGGUGAGUAACGCGUAGGUAUCUAUCCUUGGGUGGGGGACAACUGUGGGAAACUACAGCUAAUACCGCAUGAUAACUGAGGUUUAAAGGCGCAAGUCGCCUGAGGAGGAGCCUGCGUACGAUUAGCUAGUUGGUGGGGUAAAGGCCUACCAAGGCGACGAUCGUUAGCUGGUCUGAGAGGAUGAUCAGCCACAUUGGGACUGAGACACGGCCCAAACUCCUACGGGAGGCAGCAGUGGGGAAUAUUGGACAAUGGGCGCAAGCCUGAUCCAGCAAUGCCGCGUGUGUGAAGAAGGUCUUCGGAUUGUAAAGCACUUUCGACGGGGACGAUGAUGACGGUACCCGUAGAAGAAGCCCGGCUAACUUCGCGCCAGCAGCCGC